rnacentral:rRNA from 1 species
GCGCCCUUUGGCUAUUCUGAAGGGCAUGCCUGUUUGAGUAUCAUGAACACCUCAACUCUCAUGGUUUGCCAUGAUGAGCUUGGACUUUGGGGGUCUUGCUGGCCUACGGUUGGCUCCUCUUAAAUGAAUCAGCUUGCCAGUGUUUGGUGGCGUCACAGGUGUGAUAAAUAUCUACGCUUGUGGUUUUCCGCCAGGUAACCUUCAGCAAUGGAGGUUCGCUGGGGCUCACAAAUGUCUCUCCUCAGCGAGGACAGCUUUUAACGUUUGAUCUCAAAUCAGGUAGGACUACCCGCUGAACUUAAGCAUAUCAAUAAGCGGAGG